rnacentral:rRNA from 1 species
UACGUAGGGGGCGAGCGUUGUCCGGAGUUACUGGGCGUAAGCGCACGCAGGCGGUCUGCUAAGGUUGGAGUGACAGUUGGUGGCUUAACUGCCAAAGUGCUUCGAAAACUGACAGACUUGAGGGCUUCAGAGGGACACGGAAUUCCGGGUGGAGUGGGGAAAUGCGUAGAGAUCCGGAGGAACACCAAAGGCGAAGGCAGUGUCCUGGGGAGUACCUGACGCUCAGGUGCGAAAGCCAGGGGAGCGAACGGG